rnacentral:rRNA from 1 species
GAUGAACGCUGGCGGCGUGCCUAAUACAUGCAAGUCGAGCGAACGGACGAGAAGCUUGCUUCUCUGAUGUUAGCGGUGGACGGGCGAGUAACACGUGGAUAACCUACCUAUAAGACUGGGAUAACUUCGUGAAACCGUAGCUAAUACCGGAUAAUAUUUUGAACCGCAUGGUUCAAAAGUGAAAGACGGUCUUGCUGUCACUUAUAGAUGGAUCCGCGCUGCAUUAGCUAGUUGGUAAGGUAACGGCUUACCAAGGCAACGAUGCAUAGCCGACCUGAGAGGGUGAUCGGCCACACUGGAACUGAGACACGGUCCAGACUCCUACGGGAGGCAGCAGUAGGGAAUCUUCCGCAAUGGGCGAAAGCCUGACGGAGCAACGCCGCGUGAGUGAUGAAGGUCUUCGGAUCGUAAAACUCUGUUAUUAGGGAAGAACAUAUGUGUAAGUAACUGUGCACAUCUUGACGGUACCUAAUCAGAAAGCCACGGCUAACUACGUG